rnacentral:rRNA from 1 species
AUGGCAGAUGCCAUUGUUGGUCCGCUGCUGAGCAAGCUGCAGGCGGUAGCAGUGACAGAGGGGAAGGCCCUAGCUGCCGUGGGCAAUGAGAUUGAUCGCCUCCGCGACAAGCUCAUGUGGCUGCAUGCGCUAGUGCACGAGACUGACCUCCGCAGCAGGUCAGACAGCAACCAGCAAAUCCGUGUGCUCGCAUACCAGGUGCGCGAGGUCGCCUUUGUAGCCGAGGACGCCAUCGACAAUUUCUUCCUGCAGGCCGACCUCUCCCGCUUCGGUCACAACUGGCGUCAGGCGGCCGCCAUGUUCUUCUCUAACUUCGGCACACAGAUCCGCGUCCGGUACAUCCUCUCCCGACAGAUCAAGUCCAUGAACGCGCGGCUAGAGGAUAUUGUCGACAACAGUGCGAAAUAUCGCAGCGACAAUGGAAGUACAAAUGCGAUCACAUGGAGGGCGUCGCGUGCCAUCCCUCCGGUCCGCCAAAACUGGUAA